AUUGAACGCUGGCGGCAGGCCUAACACAUGCAAGUCGCACGAGUGGCGGACGGGUGAGUAAUGUCUGGGAAACUGCCCGAUGGAGGGGGAUAACUACUGGAAACGGUAGCUACUACCGCAUACCAUCGGAUGUGCCCCGAUGGGCUUAGCUAGGAGGUGGGGUAACGGCUCACCUAGGCGACGAUCCCUAGCUGGUCUGAGAGGAUGACCAGCCACACUGGAACGGAGACACGGUCCAGAGUCCUACGGAAGGCAGCAGUGGGGAAUAUUGCACAAUGGGCGCAAGCCUGAUGCAGCCAUUCCGCGUGUAUGAAGAAGGCCGUCGGGUUGUAAAGUACUUUCAGCGAGGAGGCGUUACUCGCAGAAGAAGCAUCGGCGAACUCCGUGCCAGCAGCCGCGGUAAUUC
rnacentral:rRNA from 1 species